rnacentral:rRNA from 1 species
GACGAACGCUGGCGGCGUGCUUAACACAUGCAAGUCGAACGGAAAGGCCCCUUUGGGGGUACUCGAGUGGCGAACGGGUGAGUAACACGUGAGUAACCUGCCCUUGACUUCGGGAUAACUUCAGGAAACUGGGGCUAAUACCGGAUAGGAAUCCUUGCUGCAUGGUGGGGGUUGGAAAGCUUCGGCGGUUUUGGAUGGACUCGCGGCCUAUCAGCUUGUUGGUGGGGUAGUGGCUUACCAAGGCUUUGACGGGUAGCCGGCCUGAGAGGGCGACCGGCCACAUUGGGACUGGGAUACGGCCCAGACUCCGACGGGAGGCAGCAGUGGGGAAGAGUGCACAAGGGGCGGAAGCCUGAUGCAGCAACGCCGCGGGCGGGAGGGCGGCCUUCGGGUUGGAAACCGCAUUCAGCAGGGGCGAAGCUUGUGGUGACGGUACCUGCAGAAGAAGCACCGGCUAACUACGUG